rnacentral:rRNA from 1 species
UACGAAGGGGGCUAGCGUUGUUCGGAUUUACUGGGCGUAAAGCGCACGUAGGCGGAUCGUUAAGUCGGGGUGAAAUCCUGGAGCUCAACUCCAGAACUGCCUUCGAUACUGGCGAUCUUGAGUCCGGAAGAGGUGAGUGGAACUCCUAGUGUAGAGGUGGAAUUCGUAGAUAUUAGGAAGAACACCAGUGGCGAAGGCGGCUCACUGGUCCGGUACUGACGCUGAGGUGCGAAAGCGUGGGAGCAAACAGG